CCGCUCGACGAAGGUGACAUGGUCUCCUACAUCCUCGCCGGAUUAGACUAUGACUACAUCUCUUUUGUCUCGUCCAUCUGUGCUGCAAGGACCGAACCAAUCAAGGUAGCAGAACACUACUCUCAGCUGAUCGGUUUUGAAA
rnacentral:snoRNA from 1 species